rnacentral:tRNA from 1 species
GGUGGCGUAGUGUUAACGGUUCAGCACGACAGAUUGUCGAUCUGUUAGUGCGGGUUCGAUUCCCGUCGUCACCG